UGCUAAUGUGUGCAAAGGUAAAAUGAGCUGUGCAACGUGCGGUGGGGAUCACGAGUAUGGGAAAUGAUCAGAGAUGGAAACUCGAGUCGCGAUUAAGAAAAUAAAAUGACUUGCGACUUGAUUUAGACUUGUGAUCAAUUGACUUGUGACUUGACUUGGACUCUAGAUGAAAGACUUGUGAACAAUGCAAGUCAGUACUGGGAUAAGUUUUAGUUGUGCAUUCUGUCAGAUAACAUGGAAUAGGCGGCGUUGUAACACGGAGAAAGUAGUUUAAUACAGAGGGCUGAAAAGCGUUCUAGAACAUUUGCGUCAUUUGUACGUGACUGUAGUACUACAGCUGAACAAUCGUAAUCAGGAACGAUGUCAUCAGGUGGUGAAGCUUUUGUUAUUACAUUUGGUUACAAGAACCUGCAGUAUAAUGCCAGUGGCAAAAAAAUGAAAUGCUGUUUGCAAAACUUGUGGAAUUAACAUUAAAGAUGCUGGCGCAACUACAGUACAUCUAACUUCAUCCGACAUGUGAAAACUCACCGUGAAAGGUUCACUGAAUUCUGCAAAGCAAAGGUGACCAGCACAGGGACAGAAGGACAGAGCAGCGUGUAUAGCCAGGGGCCACCCCAGGCAGAAGGCUAUAACAGAGGCUAUACUGCAAGACCUGAUAAUUUCCUGCAACCUGCCUAUGUCCUUAGUGGACAACCCUCACUUUAGGCAUUUCAUGUCAGUGGUAGGUGACAAAUAUUGACCAGUAAGUAGGCCCACGUUGACCAGGUGCCUGCAUGACUUAACACUGAACAAAAAGGCUACAAUCAAAAGUGCCCUAGAACAGACAGAAUCAGUGUCUGUCACUGUAGAUAUAUGGACUGACAGGACCAUGAGGGGCUUCAUGGGAGUAAUGGCCCAUUACAUGGCCAUGGAAGAGGGGAAAAAAACACCCAUACUGGAGUAAGUUCUGUUGAGCUGUGAUAGAUUCACAUGGUCACUUACUGGGGAAAGAACAUUUGACAUUUAAUAUGUGAUAACUCUGAAAAUAUGAAAAAGGCCUUCAUAGUUUGUUUCCCCAAAGCAAUCAAUGAUGAUGAUGUGGAUAAACCCCAGCAUAUGGGAGGAAUUUGGUGAAGAGUACAAUGUUGAUGUAGAAGCUAUCCAAACCAACUGCAGGUAACAGCACUUACAGUGCUUUGCCCAUUCAUUACAACUGGUGAUUAGAGAUGGACUAAAGGAAACAAAAAUCAUAAACAGUGUGAUGUUUAAGGUAAAUAAACUUUGCAGCUUACUACACACUACCUGUUCUCUGACGGAAGCAUUUGAAGCCGAGUUCGGAGCCAAUCGUAGUAUCCCUGCUGCUGUGUCUACCAGAUGGAAUUCCAUCCUCCGGCUUGUUAAAGCAGCCACCAAUCUGAAUCAACAAAGCCUCAAUACGCUACUUGAGGCCCAAGGACACAAGGAACUCUGCUUAUCACAAAGGGAAUGGAGUCAGCUAUUGGAGCUAGUGGACAUUUUGGACCCUUUUGUCCAGGCCACCGACCUUACUCAGGGGGUUCUCUCAGUGCUGCCCUUCCUUGUGUACUGUCAACUAUCAUCUGCAAAGUAUACUGUGCACAAGUCAUCACCUACUCAGUCUAGUAAAAGCACUGCAGCAGUCACUCAAAUGCCAAUUCCAGGGGGUGUUUGUGAAUGUCAGAAUGGAGCACUUGGAUGAACAGGCAACAAAACUUACUUUGGUGACAAUGUAUACAUAAUGGCUGCACUGCACUGGACCCAUCUUUCUGCCUGUUCUGGCUUGAUCAUGAUGUCCUCAUACCACAUGAAGAUCAAGCUGAAUUGAAAGAGAGUCUGAUUAACCUAACCAGACGGCUGAGGCAUGGAAAGUCACCAUUAUGGAGAGCAGUAGUGGAGAAGAGGAACAACCACCUGCCAAAACCUCGACUGUUCUCUGGCCUCCUCAACAAGAUCAGCAUGAAGAAAGGAGACAAAGUCACCUGUCAAAGCAGAGAUUAUUAGCUACAUUGAAGUAUCUUCUGAUGAAAAGUAAGUUGAUUGCUUGGAUUUUUGGAGAAUCCAUGCAAAAGACUUUCCAAAACUCAAACAGGUAGCAAUGACAGUGUUGGCUGUGCCUGCCACCAGUGCCCCAGUGGAGAGUGUUUAGUCAUGGAGGCCUCAUCAUGCGCCCUCAUCGUGCCAGGCUCACUGCAAGAACGCUGACAAACUUGAUCUUUCUGAAAUGUAACCUGUCUGCAACAUAAAUAUUCUCUCUCUUAGGGCACAGGAUGUAAUUUGCUACUUGUUACAGGAAAUUGUAUUUAUGUUAAGUGUCCAGGUUAGUAAGUAUAUUUUAGGGAUAAAGGUCAUUAUGUUUGAUAUAUAGGACACUUUAGUAGUGCAGUUAUUGAACAGUUGUCAGUCAUUUUGGUUUACAUUCAUGCUUGUCAUUUAUCUUCCCUCACCUACAGAUUCUGUUUGUGUGACACAAAAUACCAUGCACUUUAAAAUGUUAUGUUUGCUUUUUUAAAUAUUCGGUACAAUUACUUUUAUUAAAUGUAAACUGUCUACAUUUUAAAAGGAAAUGUAUUUGGAUUGAAAUAGUGCCUGAUGUGUUUUCUUUCAUAAAAGUAUGGACUAAUGAACAGGGGAGUCUCUUCAAAUAAUUUACAAGGUUUAUAGACCUGCAGUAACCCACAGCAGGUAGAAAGCCAUUGCAAAAAUGGACUUGAGACUUGACUUGAACUCUACCUCAAAGACCUGUGAACAUCUCUGGAAAUAAUGGCCUGAUGCUGAUGUUAAAUGUUGUAACCAACGUUCCCUCUAUAAACUGCG
ensembl:lncRNA